rnacentral:rRNA from 1 species
CAGUCGCCGCGGUAAUACGUAGGGCGCAAGCGUUAUCCGGAAUUAUUGGGCGUAAAGAGCUCGUAGGCGGUCUGUCGCGUCUGCCGUGAAAGUCCGGGGCUCAACCCCGGAUCUGCGGUGGGUACGGGCAGACUAGAGUGAUGUAGGGGAGACUGGAAUUCCUGGUGUAGCGGUGAAAUGCGCAGAUAUCAGGAGGAACACCGAUGGCGAAGGCAGGUCUCUGGGCAUUAACUGACGCUGAGGAGCGAAAGCAUGGGGAGCGAACAGGAUUAGAUACCCCUGUAGUCCCUGUCUCUUAUAC